rnacentral:rRNA from 1 species
UCCUGGCUCAGGACGAACGCUGGCGGCGUGCCUAAUACAUGCAAGUCGAGCGGACCGGAUUGGGGCUUGCCUUGAUUCGGUCAGCGGCGGACGGGUGAGUAACACGUGGGCAACCUGCCCGCAAGACCGGGAUAACUCCGGGAAACCGGAGCUAAUACCGGAUAACACCGAAGACCGCAUGGUCUUCGGUUGAAAGGCGGCCUUUGGGCUGUCACUUGCGGAUGGGCCCGCGGCGCAUUAGCUAGUUGGUGAGGUAACGGCUCACCAAGGCGACGAUGCGUAGCCGGCCUGAGAGGGUGACCGGCCACACUGGGACUGAGACACGGCCCAGACUCCUACGGGAGGCAGCAGUAGGGAAUCUUCCGCAAUGGGCGAAAGCCUGACGGAGCGACGCCGCGUGAGCGAAGAAGGCCUUCGGGUCGUAAAGCUCUGUUGUGAGGGACGAAGGAGCGCCGUUCGAAGAGGGCGGCGCGGUGACGGUACCUCACGAGAAAGCCCCGGCUAACUACGUGCCAGCAGCCGCGGUAAUACGUAGGGGGCGAGCGUUGUCCGGAAUUAUUGGGCGUAAAGCGCGCGCAGGCGGUCUCUUAAGUCUGAUGUGAAAGCCCACGGCUCAACCGUGGAGGGUCAUUGGAAACUGGGGGACUUGAGGGCAGGAGA